rnacentral:misc_RNA from 1 species
GUCGUGGGCUUCAGUUGUGCUUGCCUCUCAGUGUGUACCGUUGCUGCCAGUGAGAGUGACCCAAAACUGUGACUGUGACUCCAGCCGUGACUGUCGUGCGUCGGUGGUGCGUCUCGGUGGCGUAUGCUUAAUUUGUGUGGCACCCUGGCGUAUGCUUGAUUUAUAAUACGCGACCCGGGCGACGUUCUCGCAGUGCAUCCUCAAGGAUACCAACAGAAGUAACAACAAAACCAUUAUUGAAUUGUGCGUCUCCUUUGAAGUUAAUCCACAGAUAUUCUCACACGCACUCGCUGGUGUGUAGUGCGGUGGCUGUGUGGUAGUGAGGUUCGCCCUGUGUGUGUGUGUAAUGCGUAUGUAAUCCAGCCAAAUCUGUCACGUGUUUUGGAUAUCUUUUUCUGAGGCCGCCAGUCAGGGAAUUUAUUGAAAAAUUGCACAAAGAUAAAUGCGCUAAACAAACAAAAUCCGAAAACGACCAAAAUCCAAUCUGAAUCAAGAGGGGCAGUGGGAUUUAACCCCAGGGCCAGUACAGAUGUUGCUGGUUCUUUGCGAACGGGAAAAUAGUGAAAAUGGCCCACAGCCAAUGGUUAUUGAUGGUCCGAGUAGAGGAAAUCACUGUUGAAUCACCGAAAACCCGAGACGCAGAGAAAUAUUAAACAAAUUAUGACCAUCAGCGCGAUUGUGGCGCAAUAAAAUUGGCCAUAAAAACACAGUUCAUACCGCGCGGCGAACAAUAAAAGAGGAAAACUAAUAUUUGACAAACUGUCAGCGGAGUCACUCGAAAGUAAAAUUGUGAACAUUUGCAGAAAGUCGCUACCCAAAGAAAACUCCGAACGUUUGCACUCGUUGCGUAUACGCCGUGUCGGCAGUUCUGCAUUUUUACAGGAGGUGUUAAAUGCGUUCGCUAGUCACAGCUGGAGCGGCAGCUCCACCGACCACAGUCCCGCUCGGAUCCCCGCUGGAAAGUGCCAGUGAAAGCCAGUGAAAGUACCAAGCUGUGCACUAUUUCCGCGUAACUGAACAUUAUCGCUCUCGCUCCCUCGCGGGAGGGGAUGCGCUCCUGGAAAAGUCGCAGUCGAUCCGAAAUGCAAGCACUCGAAACGAGAACGCGGCCCCUGCAGGGCGCUCAGCUCACCCAGCUGCUCCUCGGUGGCAUCCUCUGCCUCACAAUCGCAUCGCACACACAGACGUCGGCGGAGGCGGCAGGCGGGCGGGGACCUGGACCCGGAGCAGGAACAUCAGAAGGAGCAGGAACCUCAUCGUCAUCGGCAGCCUCCACGGCCAUCAGCUCCGAUGAGAGCGGCGACCCAUCAUCGGCGACCGCGUUCUCCAGCUUGGCUCAAGUGUCCUCGCUUCUGCCGGCGGCAUCCGCUCUGUCGGCGACAUCGGGACUCGUGGAGCCCUAUCUGGAUGGCUACGCCACUUCCAAUGUGACCACUCAGAUCGGGACACACGCGUAUCUGCCCUGUCGGGUCAAACAGCUGGGCAACAAAUCGGUGUCCUGGAUUCGUCUGCGAGAUGGACACAUCUUGACCGUUGACAGGGCCGUCUUCAUAGCUGACCAGCGAUUCCUGGCCAUCAAGCAGCCGGACAAGUACUGGACCCUGCAGAUCAAGUACGUCCAGGCCCGGGACGCCGGCUCCUACGAGUGCCAGGUCUCCACGGAGCCCAAAGUCAGCGCCCGUGUCCAGCUGCAAGUUGUGGUUCCCCGCACGGAGAUCCUGGGAGAGCCGGACCGCUACGUGAAGGCGGGCAGCAACGUGGUGCUACGCUGCAUCGUGCGCGGCGCCUUGGAGCCGCCCACGUUCAUCAUGUGGUACCACGGCGCCGAGCAGCUGGCGGCCGACUCCCGGCGCCACCGCACGCAACUGGAUCCCAACCUGCCGGAGGCCUCCGGCGAAGGCCAGAGCACGAUUGGCUCAUUAAUCAUCGAGUCGGCCAAGAAGCGCGAUACUGGCAAUUACACAUGUAGCCCGUCGAAUAGCCCCAGUGCGACCGUAACGCUGAACAUAAUAAAUGGCGAAUCGUCGGCCUCGGCGGUCACAUCCUCGGCAGCCACCACCCGGGCCUACGCCCUCAGCAUCCUGGCGCUCCUGCUCAGCGUCAUCCUCAUCGGAGUGGGCCACCGCACAUGACAUGUCAAUGCCAGCAAGCCAAACUAAAUGGCCUGAAAGCAGCUACUAGUCAGUGAGAAGAUGGGAAUCCCAACACUCUGCCAACGUAAAACAAAUACUGGACUCUGGCCGGUGACCUCGUUGCUGGUCAGGGGAAUCGAAACUUCUUUCGCCAAUAAAUUUGAAAAAUUGAAUAGGCCGUCCCAGGGAUCGGAGAAGUUCUGAAUGAUUUCCAAGGAGUUUAUUCAGCAUUAUCUUUGGCAAACAUAGCACCCACAUAUUCGGACUGCGAUGUAUGUAUGUGCCACAUCGCAAACAUUUGCAUAGCCAAUUUAUGGAACUCUUUUUUAUGUGCUCUUAUCUCACGAACAAGCUCGAAACAUGCGGGAAAAACCAAAAUUCAUAAAGUAAAUAUGGCGUAAGAACAAAAAAUUAUAGCAAAUACACUCAUUGAUCGGAAUGGACGAAAUGGGCGCGUUCAGCAAGCAAAAACAAUUUAAUUGAUAACGAAAGUAAAUUUAUUGAAUUCAGCGGACUGAAUCGCGAACUG